GGCACUGUGGCUCAAUUGGUAGAGUGCUUCCCUUGAGUUGAAGAGCUCAGGGACAGUGCCU
rnacentral:tRNA from 1 species